rnacentral:rRNA from 1 species
AUUGAACGCUGGCGGCAUGCCUUACACAUGCAAGUCGAACGGUAACAGGUCUUCGGAUGCUGACGAGUGGCGAACGGGUGAGUAAUACAUCGGAACGUGCCUAGUAGUGGGGGAUAACUACUCGAAAGAGUGGCUAAUACCGCAUGAGAUCUACGGAUGAAAGCAGGGGAUCGCAAGACCUUGUGCUACUAGAGCGGCCGAUGGCAGAUUAGGUAGUUGGUGGGAUAAAAGCUUACCAAGCCGACGAUCUGUAGCUGGUCUAAGAGGACGAUCAGCCACACUGGGACUGAGACACGGCCCAGACUCCUACGGGAGGCAGCAGUGGGGAAUUUUGGACAAUGGGCGAAAGCUUGAUCCAGCAAUGCCGCGUGCAGGAUGAAGGCCUUCGGGUUGUAAACUGCUUUUGUACGGAACGAAAAGCUCUGGGUUAAUACCCUGGGGUCAUGACGGUACCGUAAGAAUAAGCACCGGCUAACUACGUGCCAGCAGCCGCCGUAAGAC